AGGACGAACGCUGGCGGCGUGCCUAACACAUGCAAGUCGCACGAGAAAGGGGAGCAAUCCCUGAGUACAGUGGCGCACGGGUGAGUAACACGUGAAUGAUCUACCUCCGAGUGGGGAAUAACUGAGAGAAAUCUUGGCUAAUACCGCAUAAUACCCACGGGUCAAAGCAGCAAUGCGCUUGGAGAGGAGUUCGCGGCCGAUUAGCUAGUUGGCGGGGUAAUGGCCCACCAAGGCGAUGAUCGGUA
rnacentral:rRNA from 1 species